GGGCCCGUGGUCUAGCGGUAUGAUAUCGCCCUCACGCGGCGAAGAUAGGGGUUCAACUCCCCUCGGGCCCA
rnacentral:tRNA from 1 species